rnacentral:rRNA from 1 species
UUCCACGGGAUCCGUGCNGUAGCUAACGCAUUAAGCUACCCGCCUGGGGAGUACGGCCGCAAGGCUAAAACUCAAAGAAAUUGACGGGGGCCCGCACAAGCGGCGGAGCAUGUGGAUUAAUUCGAUGCAACGCGAAGAACCUUACCUGGGUUUGACAUACACGGAAAUCCGGCAGAGAUGUAGGGUCCUCUUAGGUUGGUGUACAGGUGGUGCAUGGCUGUCGUCAGCUCGUGUCGUGAGAUGUUGGGUUAAGUCCCGCAACGAGCGCAACCCUUGUCCCAUGUUGCCAGCACGUAAUGGUGGGGACUCAUGGGAGACUGCCGGGGUCAACUCGGAGGAAGGUGGGGAUGACGUCAAGUCAUCAUGCCCCUUAUGUCCAGGGCUUCACGCAUGCUACAAUGGCCGGUACAAAGGGCUGCGAUACCGNGAGGUGGAGCGAAUCCCUUAAAGCCGGUCUCAGUUCGGAUCGGGGUCUGCAACUCGACCCCGUGAAGUUGGAGUCGCUAGUAAUCGCAGAUCAGCAACGCUGCGGUGAAUACGUUCCCGGGCCUUGUACACACCGCCCGUCACGUCAUGAAAGUCGGUAAC